AAUGUCCUCAUUCAUUUAACUUUCUUCUUUGAAUUAACUCUUUCCUUAUCUUUAACUAAAGAACUUGCUGCCAUGGUGUAGAGAGAUGAAGAUCCAAGAUUCUCUUCGGUAGUUUUCUUCUACGAUAUUGAUUUGUGAAAAAAUUAUGUUAAAAAGUUGAAGUCGGCAAAGAACAGAGAUGGAGAGUUGAAAAUUGAUGUCAUCGAAGAAAUUAUUCAUGAAGUUGUCUUUUUCAAUAACCACUUCUUCAAAAUUUCUAAUUCAUUCUUCAAGUCCGAGAUUUUUCCAAGAAUUCUCAUCCAUCAUUCGUGUUCAAGUCUAGCGGUGAAGAUCAUUUCCCUUCAUGUCCUGUUCCAGUUCACUGUCAGAAAAAAGAUGCAACUCACACUUACAUACGAGGCGGACUGUAGAUAAAGAAUGUGAAGUUGUUUGGCAGAACAAUGAUUUGUAGAGGAUGCAGAUAAAGAAUGGGAAGUUGUUAGACUAUCUUGAGAGUGUUUCUUCCAAUGAAAAUAUUUAUGUGAAGAAUGGUUAGUUCAGUUUUUGUAAUUAAGCCUAAAGGUUUUCCA